CAGAGGUCCCAAGCGUUGUUCGGAUUCACUGGGCGUAAAGGGUGCGUAGGCGGUCGGGUAAGUCUGAUGUGAAAUCUUCAAGCUUAACUUGGAAACUGCAUCGGAUACUAUUCGGCUAGAGGAAUGGAGGGGAGACUGGAAUACUUGGUGUAGCAGUGAAAUGCGUAGAUAUCAAGUGGAACACCAGUGGCGAAGGCGAGUCUCUGGACAUUUCCUGACGCUGAGGCACGAAAGCCAGGGGAGCAAACGGGAUUAGAUACCCCGGUAGUCCUGGCCCUAAACGGUGCACGUUUGCUGUAAGAGGAAUCGACCCCUUUUGUGGCGAAGCUAACGCGUUAAACGUGCCGCCUGGGAAGUACGGCCGCAAGGUUA
rnacentral:rRNA from 1 species